UCUCUGGCCUGGCACAGUCCCCUGAGCAGGGCCCUUUGUGUGGUCCCAGCAGCUGCUUCCUCCCAGGGCUCCCCCAAGGGGCAAAGCAAAGCCCCCUCCUCAGUGUGCAGUGAGAGCUGAGCUCCAGCCCAGGGCUCAGGGAGGGGCUGGGCAGUCCCUGGAUGGAAACACGUUUGCAUGAGCAGCCCCUCCUCUGCAGAGGGUGGGGACAAAAGGAGGCCUGGGCAGCCCAGCCCCACUGUGGGGACCAGGGGCUGUGUGCACCAUGGCCUGGACUCCUGUCCUGCUCGUGCUCCUCUCUCACUGCACAGGUUCCCUGUCCCAGCCUGUGCUGACCCAGCCGCCCUCCCUCUCUGCAUCUCCUGGAGCAUCAGCCAGGCUCACCUGCACCCUGAGCAGUGGCUUCAGUGUUGGCAGUUAUGGUAUAUCCUGGAACCAGCAGAAGCCAGGGAGCCCGCCCCGGUACCUGCUGUACUACCACACAGACUCAGACAAGCACCAGGGCUCCGGGGUCCCCAGCCACUUCUCUGGCUCCAAAGACGCCUCGGCCAAUGCAGGGAUUCUGCACGUCUCUGGGCUGCAGCCUGAGGACGAGGCUGACUAUUACUGUCAUACAUGGGAUGGCAGCGCUAAUACUUACAGAGUGAUCUAGACACACGGGGAAGUGAGACAAAAAUGUCCCCCUGUUCUUCUGGCCCUGUGAUUUCAUCCUUUGCUUGUGGCUCUAACAAGUCUACCUCAGGGGUGACUUCUGUUGUCACAUCUUCUAGCAAUACCUGAUUUAUCUUGGGCAAAUAAAUGUGACAAUGUUAUAUCCUGCUGUUCAACUCAACUUUUGGA